AUUGACCGCUAGCGGGAUGCUUUACACAUGCCAGUCGAACGAGUGGCGGACGGGUGAGUAAUAUAUCGGAACGUGCCCAGUAGCGGGGGAUAGCUACUCGACAGAGUGGCUAAUACCGCUUACUAUUGGAGCGGACGCUAUCGGCUUAGCUAGUUGGUGGGGUAAAGGCUCACCAAGGCCACGAUCCGUAGCUGGUUUGCAAGGACGCCCAGCCAUACUGGGAGUGAGACACGGCCCAGAAUCGUACGGGAGGAAGAAGUGGGGAAUGUUGGACAAUGGGGGAACCCCUGAUCCAGCAGUCCCGCGUGUAUGAGAAGGCCUUCGGGUUGUAAAGUACUUUUGUCAGAGAAGCGGUAUCUGCAGAAUAAGCACCGGCUAACUACGUGCCAGCCGCCGCGGUAAUAC
rnacentral:rRNA from 1 species